UAACCGUGCAGGCAACUGGUGGUGGAGUCUCGCCGGAUGAUGUGACGGCAGCCAUCGUCCAUAUUAAUUGAUUCAGUAUGUAUGCUCAAACUUUCCCUUGUAAGGCAAGACACUUCAGAGACCAAUGGUUGACAGUCACAGCUGAUACGUAGAACUGCAGGCUCCUCUGUUCCUGUCAGCUUCAGUAGCUCGUUGAUUAAGAUGUAUGAUUGGGUGACCAGCUGCAAGCUCUGGAUGCCAAGGGUGGAGCUUUAAAAGUACUUGAAAAAAUAGUGAUUGCCUAUUCCAUGAUGCAAAUUUCACCAUCCAGUUGAUGGGUCUGCACCUGAUUCCAUUUCAAAGUGGGAGCCUUCUCAGCAAUCUGUGAUGCUUACUCUUGCUGGCCUUCCAAGGAGAGAGGUAACAUCCAGAAAUAAUCGUACUAGCAUGUUGAUAAUUCAGGAUUAUAAAUGCCGUUUGUGGUUCUUUGUUGCUAGAACAUUCCCUUCCCGGGUCGGUUUGGUGAAUCAGCCGUUGUAUUAGUAAGCCGUUGGCACUAGUCCUUUCACGAUAAGGAUCUCUCAAUUGCUGAAAACUAACUAAAUAUCACUAUGAGAUUUUAUGGUGAGGAAUGGUGAAUAUUACCAUGUUGCUAUGCAUGGUAGGAUGCCUCUCGCUCUUGAAUCAUAAUUUCAUGAAAUGUUCUUGUCAAAUGCAAAUACUCAGUGUGUUCUACAGUCCCCUUUGCAUACCUUUUGCCUUUGCUUUCUUGGAUAGUUAUUCAUUAGUCGGUGUCAUCGAUUAUAACUUCACAUCGUCAAUGUUCAGCUUGUUUUUCAAACACCUGUGGAAGUUGCUGCAGGACACAUAACGGGGCGGACGCGAAGGCCUUCAUAGGUAGAGCAGAGCGAGGUCGAUACGGUGGCCAGGCGUGGUCUAGAGAACUGGUGGCUGGUGGUGCGCGAGUUGGAGGCGAGGUGACGUCAUUGACCAAGACGCCUCGUAUAUCCUCAUCUCGUGCCUCCGGGAGAGGAGCUCGUCGAGGAUCCCCUCUUCUCCAUGGAUCCACGAUAGAGGGUCAUAUAUGGAGGAGUGGAUUUGAAAGGAAAGAAUUCCAAUUAGUUGCUUUUGAGGAUGUUCCCGAGGCACUAAAGAACUGGUAGUCUCAUCGUAUGACGGUAUGUAUCUAUUUGGUCAUCAUGUAUAUUGUGUAAACAUAAAAUGAUGCACUGAAUGCACUGCGCUCUUUCCAAUUUUUAUUGUGUC